rnacentral:tRNA from 1 species
UCCCUGGAGGUCCAGUGGCUAAGUCUCUGCACUCCCAAUGCAGGGGACCCAGGCUCAAUUCCUUGUCAGGGAA